UGCAGUCGAGCGGUAGAGAGAAGCUUGCUUCUCUUGAGAGCGGCGGACGGGUGAGUAAUGCCUAGGAAUCUGCCUGGUAGUGGGGGAUAACGUCCGGAAACGGACGCUAAUACCGCAUACGUCCUACGGGAGAAAGCAGGGGACCUUCGGGCCUUGCGCUAUCAGAUGAGCCUAGGUCGGAUUAGCUAGUUGGUGAGGUAAUGGCUCACCAAGGCGACGAUCCGUAACUGGUCUGAGAGGAUGAUCAGUCACACUGGAACUGAGACACGGUCCAGACUCCUACGGGAGGCAGCAGUGGGGAAUAUUGGACAAUGGGCGAAAGCCUGAUCCAGCCAUGCCGCGUGUGUGAAGAAGGUCUUCGGAUUGUAAAGCACUUUAAGUUGGGAGGAAGGGUACUUACCUAAUACGUGAGUAUUUUGACGUUACCGACAGAAUAAGCACCGGCUAACUCUGUGCCAGCAGCCGCGGUAAUACAGAGGGUGCAAGCGUUAAUCGGAAUUACUGGGCGUAAAGCGCGCGUAGGUGGUUCGUUAAGUUGGAUGUGAAAUCCCCGGGCUCAACCUGGGAACUGCAUCCAAAACUGGCGAGCUAGAGUAUGGUAGAGGGUGGUGGAAUUUCCUGUGUAGCGGUGAAAUGCGUAGAUAUAGGAAGGAACACCAGUGGCGAAGGCGACCACCUGGACUGAUACUGACACUGAGGUGCGAAAGCGUGGGGAGCAAACAGGAUUAGAUACCCUGGUAGUCCACGCCGUAAACGAUGUCAACUAG
rnacentral:rRNA from 1 species